rnacentral:rRNA from 1 species
AACGAACGCUGGCGGCGUGGAUAAGACAUGCAAGUCGAACGAGAGAAUUGCUAGCUUGCUAAUAAUUCUCUAGUGGCGCACGGGUGAGUAACACGUGAGUAACCUGCCCCCGAGAGCGGGAUAGCCCUGGGAAACUGGGAUUAAUACCGCAUAGUAUCGAAAGAUUAAAGCAGCAAUGCGCUUGGGGGAUGGGCUCGCGGCCUAUUAGUUAGUUGGUGAGGUAACGGCUCACCAAGGCGAUGACGGGGUAGCCGGUCUGAGAGGAUGUCCGGCCACACCUGGGAAACCUGAGACACGGGUCCAGACACCUACGGGUGGCAGCAGUCGAGAAUCAUUUCACAAUGGGGGAAACCCUGGAUGGUGCGACGCCGCGUGGGGGAAUGAAGGUC